rnacentral:lncRNA from 1 species
CUGAGAAUAAAACCGAUACAUGGCAGAGGUGGAGAGAGACAGAUUUGAGUGCCUGAUUCUGCUGGCCUGAAGUCAUGUGUGUGUCUGGAGCUUUCAGUUGUGUGAGUCAAUGAGUUCCCUUUUUGUAAGCUAGUUUGAGUUGGAUUUCUGUCACUUACAACAAAACAAUCCCUUAUAAAGGGAGCUUCUAAUAAAAGAAGUGUUGAGUCCAGCUCCCUCCGGUAGGGCCAGGACUUGGAAGUCCAGUAGACUCUUUCAUGGAGCACAGAACACCUGGGCCUCAUUUCUGUCUGCAAAGCUGUUAAUGUAGGUAGCCUGCCUGUGAUGGGGGAUAAAUCAGGAAGAAGCAGUAAGGAAAAGCUGGCCUGCUCUGGGAAUUUAUACAGGUUUUGGCCCAGGUGAGGAUACACAGAGACGAUCCUUCCUCACCACCACUAGGUGGAGUUUGAGCACUUCGGGUGCGCGCUCAGCAGCCAAAAGGAACCCAUCAGUGUCUAGGCUACCAAGGAAGAGGCAAGAAAGACACAGCCCCCUGCCCUCCAAGCCUCCCCGUCUUUCUCGCUCCCUCUCUAUGUUACCACCCCUUCUUUCAGACACCUGGGGACUUUUACGUUCCCUAUGCAACUCCUCUCAAAUCUGAUUCAUGACAUUCACAUCCAGGAAAAAAUGGUAACAGCCUACAAUAAAUCAAGACAGCAUGAUAUUGGUCAAAGGCUAGACACACAGAUCAAGGGAACAGAAGUGAGGGCACAGAAAUCGAGCCACACAAAUAUAGAAAACAGAUUUUUUACAAAGGACCAAAGGAAGAAGAAGAAAGAAGAAGGAGAAAAAGAAGAAGAAGGAGAAGAAGAGGAGGAAGAGGAAGAAGACGACGAAGGAGGAGGAGGAGGAAAGAAGAAAGAAGAAAAGAGAGAGGAGGAUGAGAAGAAACCAAACCCAGACCUCACAUAAUUUACAAAAAUUAACUCAAAAUGGAUCAUAGACCUAAAUGUAAAAAGUAAAACUAUAAAGCUUCUAGAAGAAAACAUAAAAGAAAAUCUAGGUGACCUUGGGCCUAAUUAUACAUUUUUGGGUUUUUUUUGUUUGUUUGUUUUGUUGUUGUUGUUGUUGUUGUUUUUUGAGACGGAGUCUAGCUCUGUUGCCCAGCUGGAGUGCAGUGGUGCGAUCUCGGCUCGCUGCAAACUCCGCCUCCUGGGUUGAAGUGAUUCUCCUGCUUCAGCCUCCCGAGUAGCUGGGAUUACAGGUGCCCGCCACCACACCCAGCUAAUUUUUGUAUUUUUAGUAGAAAUGGGGUUUCACCAGGUUGACCAGGCUGGUCUCGAACUCCUGGCCUUAGGUGAUCCACCCACCUCGGCCUCCCAAAGUGCUGGGAUUACAAGCAUGAGCCACUGCAUCCGGCCUCAAUUUUUUUUUUUUUUUUUGAGACAGAGUCUCACUCUGUCGCCCAGGCUGGAGUGCAGUGACGCGAUCUCGGCUCACUGCAAGCUCCGCCUCCUGGGUUCAUGCCAUUUUCCUGCCUCAGCCUCCCUAGUAGCUGGGACUACAGGCACCUGCCACCACGCCUGGCUAAUUUUUUGUAUUUUUAGUAGAGAUGGGGUUUCAUUGUGUUAGCCAGGAUGGUCUCGACCUCAUGACCUGGUGAUCCGCCCUCCUCGGCCUCCCAAAGUGCUGAGAUUACAGGCAUGAGCCACCACACCCGGCCAAUUUUUGUAUUUUUUUUUUUUAGUAGAGAUGAGGGUUCACCAUGUUGGGCAGGAUGGUCUCGAUCUCUCGACCUCAUGAUCCGCUGACCUCAGCCUCCCAAAGUGCUGGGAUUACAGGCCUGAGCCACCAUGCCCAGCCCUGAUAUAUAUAUAUAUAGAUAGAUAGAUAGAUAGAUAGAUAGAUAGAUAGAUAGAUAGAUAGAUGUAAUUUUGAGACAGAGUUUAACUCUUGUUGCCCAGGCUGGAGUGCAAUGGCGCAAUCUCCUGCUCACUGCAACCUCCACUUCCGGGGUUCAAGUGAUUCUCCUGCCUCAGCCUCCCGAGUAGCUGGGAUUACAGGCAUGCGCCACCACCCCCAGCUAAUUUUGUAUUUUUUUUAGUAGAGAAGAAGUUUCCCCAUGUUGGUCAGGCUGGUUUCACACCCCC